rnacentral:rRNA from 1 species
UACGGAGGGGGCUAGCGUUGUUCGGAAUUACUGGGCGUAAAGCGUGCGCAGGCGGUUUUGUAAGCCAGAUGUGAAAUCCCCGGGCUUAACCUGGGAAUGGCAUUUGGGACUGCAAGGCUUGAGUGCGGCAGAGGAGACUGGAAUUCCUGGUGUAGCAGUGAAAUGCGUAGAUAUCAGGAGGAACACCGAUGGCGAAGGCAGGUCUCUGGGCUGACACUGACGCUCAUGCACGAAAGCGUGGGGAGCAACAAGG